rnacentral:lncRNA from 10 species
CUUGGCUACCAUCAGCCACCUCCUUCAACCUGUGACCUCAUCCUGGGCCCUUCCUGCCCUAACAUCCACAUGUCACCACCUGUACCCAAGGUCACCAAACUAAGUGAUCGUCACUUACUCUUCUUAACAAAUGAAACCUUGUUUUCCCACAGAAUCCUCUAGAAACCCAAGGGGCAAGCCUAGAGAAUUCCAUGCUUGGGAGGUGGGGGCAAGGAUCACUACCUGAUUUCUUAUAAGCCCUUGGCACAGGGAAACAGGAGGAUGUGCCUGCUUUGGGGUGUCAGUGGUAUUCAGGGAGGCCUGGUACUUUCACUGGAUUCAAGUCCCCACCCUUCUUUCUCUUGCCCAUUCCGUGAGCCCUGGGGAAGAAGCCCAAACUCCCUACAAGGUGGUGCUGGCAAGAAAUUGCCCCAUCCUCCUUAUCAGACCUACUUGGCUGCCCGAUCCAGACCCGUCCCUUGUACAGUCACAGGUGAGGCUCCGCCCAGGCAGUUGCAACUUGCUCAGGUGAAGCAAACUGACUCACCUGAAAGGUGAGGGUGAGCCAAAACCAGGACACCCAGGAAAGCCCAGAGCAGGUCAGUUUGGAAGCAGAAUGCUGAGGAGGGACCAUGGGAGGCCUGGGCUGCCCAGUCAAUGACCCACUCUGCAGGAUGGCCCUGCAGCCAGCUCCAGGCAGGGACUUCAGCCUCUCUUUCUCCUCCUCCCACCUCUGACUCUCCUCCCACGGCACUUGCCACAGUGGGCUGGCUGCUCAGACAACGCCUGAUGACAGAUGGAUAUGCACAGCACCAUAAUUCAUCCGUCUAAGAUGCUGGUGAUUGUAAGAUGCAGCAUUAUUUUACAUACCUCUAAGAAAGAAAAACAUGUUACCUACCCAAUUAUGACACAUGGAUUUUGAUUACACAGAAUGUGUAUUUCGCACUUACUGAAAGCUUUUUUAGUUUUAUUUAGAACGGGUUUUUACUCUAUAUCAGCUUCAUGCAUGCAUGAAAAGGAAAAUAGAAAUGAGAUGAAGAUGACGACGAUAAGCUACUUGCACAAGAUUAACACAGUCAGUGGAAAACUGGGAUUUGAAUUCAGAAGUUGAGUACUAGAGUCUACGCUUAACCACGACACCAUUUGUGCUGGUAAUGUGCCCAUUAUACAGAUAAGGGAACUGAGGCUUACGAGAAAUAAAUCCUUGCCCAAGGAUACACAGCACAAGGGCCAACAGCCAAAUCAACAUCUGAUUUGAAAGCCCGUGUUGUCUCCCAUUUUGCUGUGCCAUGUAGAGGAGACAAAAGGGCAAAUAUCAAAUUCAGAUAUUUAGAUUUAAUUCUGUAAUUCAGAAUCCAAUGUGUCAUCAUACUGAAAAAAAUUAACUCACUUUUUUUCUUGCAAAGAUGCAGGUAGUACAAUUUUCUUAUAGGGAUCUGAAGGAUGUCUCAUUCAUCUGUUCAUUUAUUCACUGAAUAACUAUUUUUGAAAUGCCUAUUAUGAGCGAGGCCCUGAUCUAGGUGCUUCAAGGAGCUUACAAUGUAGCUGAAAUAAUAGACUUCGGACAAGUGAUUAAAGUGUGACCAAGGGGGAAAUACUAUUUACAACUGCAAAUGACUGGAACCCCACUGCCACUGAGGAAGACGGUUUGGGAAGGAAGCAGAGAUGCAGAAAGUCAGGGGAAGAUGGCAGCCAAGCUACUUGUUGGGCAGUUGGAGAAUCUUGAAAACAAUGACAUUUAACCAACUCAAAAUCAAUGUAUUUGCAUUCUCAUCAUGUAACUCCCUCCAUAUCCAUAAACCUUUCAUAAAAUUUGCUACGCAUACAAUAACCUUGAGUAAAGGCUUUUAAUGGAAAUCGAGAAAAGAAGUUGAGGUCCUCAUCUGUGUGAAUAUGGGGGUGGGAAAGAGCAUAUAUGAGAAGGACCGAGCGUAAUUUGGGGGAUCAGAGAAGCCUGCUGCAUUGGCAUAAACAUUCUGACUUUGCUGACCUGCUAACCCUCACUUGUCCACGGUUCUGAAAUCCUCAUCUGUCUUGGUCCUUGUUGAAAACCCAGAGCCUUGAAUGAUGGCAGACACAUAACAGGUGCUCAGUAAAUAUUUUUUGAUUGCCUGACUACAUGAAUGAUCUCAGCAGCCCUUCAAAAUCUCUCCCACUUGUGUUUCUCUAACACUCCCCGAUGUACCCUCAGAGCCUGGCACAUAGUAAGUGCUUAAUAAAGAGCCCUUGACUGACAAAAAACCUUUCUCCACAGUUUAGAUAAUCUCCUUGAACUGGCUUCCAGUGAAAUUACUAGAUCAAAGAGAACGGAG